CCUACGGGGGACAGCAGUGGGGAAUAUUGCACAAUGGGCGAAACCCUGAAGCAGCGACGCCGCGUGAGGGACGAAGUAAUUCGUUAUGUAAAACUCUAUCAGCAGGGAAGAAAAUGACGGUACCUGAGUCAGAAGCCCCGGCUAACUCCGUGCCAGCAGCCGCGGUACUACGUAGGGAGCAGGCGUUAUCCGGAUUUACUGGGUGUAAAGGGGGCGUAGACGGCAGUGCAGGUCUGGAGUGAAAGGCUGGGGCUCAACCCCCGAACUGCUCUGGAAACUGUACGGCUGGAGUGCAGGAGAGGUAAGUGGAAUUCCUAGUGUAGCGGUGAAAGGCGUAGAUAUUAGGAGGAACACCAGUGGCGAAGGCGGCUUACUGGACUGUAACUGACGUUGAGGCUCGAAAGCGUGGGGAGCAAACAGGAUUAGAUACCCUUGUAGUC
rnacentral:rRNA from 1 species